CAAGGCACGGAGUUCCGACCCUGGCCAGAAUGGGAUCGCGCUCCGCGAGCUGUGAGUGAGUGAAACACACCCUCGGUUCCGUCCGAAAGAAAGUCCGGAAGAAAAGAGCACAGACCUGGAUACAAGUACCUGCCCCCGGGCACCGGGCAGGGCGCACAGAGGGGACUGAUUGUGACGCAGAGGGUGCGGCCCAACCCCACGGCGCGAGGGAGCGCAGCCAGCCUCCCCAGCUUCCCUUCGGGGGUUCGCUUGGAGACUCACUGCCCAGCGCCCUUCUGUCCGAGCGAGGCCCGGGCUGACCAGCGCUCUACCCAGUGAGCUGCCCUUUGGGAAGUGGGGUCUGAGGCCAAGUGACAAGCCCUCGGUCAAGGCGUGUAGCGUGAGUGUAGCUCAGAUAUGGGCCACCUGCCUCUCCUGUCCCAACGCAGCUCUGGAAGGGUCUCCACCGAGCCCUGCUCUGCAACCGCAGACUUCUGCUUUCUCUCAGCCCCAUUUGCUGCCUCCCCCCUGCUGGCUCAUCCCCAUUUCCUCC